GGGGGCGACUGGUAUCGACCGGACGGAAGAAGGGCAUGUGGCGUACCCAGGGUUCAGGUGGCCUGGCUAAAAACCUGAAGACGCAAUUUAAGCGUCAACAAUAACUACGCAAUGGCUGCCUAAUUACUGGCAGUCCGUUCUUACCGCUUUGUCUGUGAGUGGAUAAGAGCGCAAUUCAGCAGGCUGGUCUUUAAGCUACUCCUGGCGGCUUCGAGACGAGAAAACAGUCGGGAUGGACCUUGAGGAUCCUGUCGACGGGAGCCAAAGAGGUCGAGACUUUAAAUCAUCGACUACGUACGUAGAAGCCUGUCUGGAACUGUUACGGGACGGGGGUUCGAUUCCCCCCGCCUCCAUCA
rnacentral:tmRNA from 1 species